rnacentral:rRNA from 1 species
AGCCAGGAUGUUGGCUUAGAAGCAGCCAUCAUUUAAAGAAAGCGUAAUAGCUCACUGGUCGAGUCGGCCUGCGCGGAAGAUGUAACGGGGCUAAACCAUGCACCGAAGCUGCGGCAGCGACACUAUGUGUUGUUGGGUAGGGGAGCGUUCUGUAAGCCUGUGAAGGUGUGCUGUGAGGCAUGCUGGAGGUAUCAGAAGUGCGAAUGCUGACAUAAGUAACGAUAAAGCGGGUGAAAAGCCCGCUCGCCGGAAGACCAAGGGUUCCUGUCCAACGUUAAUCGGGGCAGGGUGAGUCGACCCCUAAGGCGAGGCCGAAAGGCGUAGUCGAUGGGAAACAGGUUAAUAUUCCUGUACUUGGUGUUACUGCGAAGGGGGGACGGAGAAGGCUAUGUUGGCCGGGCGACGGUUGUCCCGGUUUAAGCGUGUAGGCUGGUUUUCCAGGCAAAUCCGGAAAACCAAGGCUGAGGCGUGAUGACGAGGCACUACGGUGCUGAAGCGACAAAUGCCCUGCUUCCAGGAAAAGCCUCUAAGCAUCAGGUAACAUCAAAUCGUACCCCAAACCGACACAGGUGGUCAGGUAGAGAAUACCAAGGCGCUUGAGAGAACUCGGGUGAAGGAACUAGGCAAAAUGGUGCCGUAACUUCGGGAGAAGGCACGCUGAUAUGUAGGUGAAGCGACUUGCUCGUGGAGCUGAAAUCAGUCGAAGAUACCAGCUGGCUGCAACUGUUUAUUAAAAACACAGCACUGUGCAAACACGAAAGUGGACGUAUACGGUGUGACGCCUGCCCGGUGCCGGAAGGUUAAUUGAUGGGGUUAGCGGUAACGCGAAGCUCUUGAUCGAAGCCCCGGUAAACGGCGGCCGUAACUAUAACGGUCCUAAGGUAGCGAAAUUCCUUGUCGGGUAAGUUCCGACCUGCACGAAUGGCGUAAUGAUGGCCAGGCUGUCUCCACCCGAGACUCAGUGAAAUUGAACUCGCUGUGAAGAUGCAGUGUACCCGCGGCAAGACGGAAAGACCCCGUGAACCUUUACUAUAGCUUGACACUGAACAUUGAGCCUUGAUGUGUAGGAUAGGUGGGAGGCUUUGAAGUGUGGACGCCAGUCUGCAUGGAGCCGGCCUUGAAAUACCACCCUUUAAUGUUUGAUGUUCUAACGUUGGCCCGUAAUCCGGGUUGCGGACAGUGUCUGGUGGGUAGUUUGACUGGGGCGGUCUCCUCCUAAAGAGUAACGGAGGAGCACGAAGGUUGGCUAAUCCUGGUCGGACAUCAGGAGGUUAGUGCAAU